GCCUCGGUGGUGUAGUGGUAGAUCACGCUUUCCCGGAUAGGAUUAAACGCGGGUUUUGAUUCUCGGCCUGAGGCC